rnacentral:misc_RNA from 1 species
GAUGAAGAACGCAGCGAAAUGCGAUAAGUAAUGUGAAUUGCAGAAUUCAGUGAAUCAUCGAAUCUUUGAACGCACAUUGCGCCCGCCAGCAUUCUGGCGGGCAUGCCUGUUCGAGCGUCAUUUCAACCCUCGAGCCCCCCCGGGGGCCUCGGUGUUGGGGGACGGCACACCAGCCGCCCCCGAAAUGCAGUGGCGACCCCGCCGCAGCCUCCCCUGCGUAGUAGCACACACCUCGCAUCGGAGCGCGGAGGCGGUCACGCCGUAAAACGCCCAACUUUCUUAGAGUUGACCUCGGAUCAGGUAGGAAUACCCGCUGAACUUAAGCAUAUCAAUAAGCGGAGGA